rnacentral:rRNA from 1 species
AUACGAGGGGUGCAAGCGUUAAUCGGAAUUACUGGGCGUAAAGCGUUCGUAGGCGGUUUGUUAAGCAAGAUGUGAAAGCCCUGGGCUCAACCUGGGAACUGCAUUUUGAACUGGCAAGCUAGAAUACUGUAGAGGGUGGUGGAAUUUCCAGUGUAGCGGUGAAAUGCGUAGAGAUUGGAAGGAACAUCAGUGGCGAAGGCGGCCACCUGGACAGAUAUUGACGCUGAGGAACGAAAGCGUGGGGAGCGAACAGGAUUAGAAACCCUAGUAGUCC